UGAGCGGAUCGCACGCGAGACAACGCGCAACGCCCUGAGAUUCUUCGGCUUCGGGCCAUGAGGAACGCCCUCGCCGUCGCUCAGGUUCGACCUUAAUAAAUUCACUCAAGACAUUGUUUUAAUUAAAUAUAUGGAAACCUCUCCCGCCCGCACCUCGAUCGCCCGGACCUGGGACGAGUCCAUCGUUCCCGCGCUCAUGCAUUACGUCCGGAUCCCAAACAAGUCGCCUGCCUUCGAUCCGGACUGGGAAGCGCACGGGCACAUGGAGUCGGCCGUGCAAUUGAUGCGGCGCUGGGCGGAAAGCCAGGCCCUGCCCGGCAUGAAGAUCGAGGUGCUGCGACUGCCUGGGCGGACCCCCGUCCUGAUGCUCGACGUGCCAGGGCAGGUCGAUGACUGCGUGCUGAUGUACGGCCACCUCGACAAGCAACCGGAAUUCACGGGCUGGUCCGACGGGCUCGAGCCGUGGACGCCCGUGCUGCGCGACGGCAAGCUCUACGGUCGCGGCGGUGCCGACGAUGGGUACGCGCUCUUCGCGUCACUGACCGCUCUCAGGACGUUGCAUGAGCAGCGCGUGCCCCACGCCCGUGCCGUGAUCCUGAUCGAGGCGAGCGAAGAGAGCGGCAGCCCUGACCUGCCGUACCACAUGUCGACGCUUGGCGACCGCAUCGGCUCGCCGUCACUCGUUGUGUGCCUCGAUGCCGAGUGCGGCAACUACGAGCAGCUCUGGGCCACGACCUCGCUGCGCGGCAAUCUCAUCGUCCUGCUGCAGGUCGAGGUACUCACCGAGGGCGUGCACUCCGGCACGGCGAGCGGCAUCGUGCCGUCGAGCUUCCGCGUGCUGCGCGAGCUGCUCGCCCGGCUCGAGGACGCGAGUUCCGGCGCGAUCCUGCUCGAGGAGCUGAACGUCCCGAUCCCGCCGGAUCGCCGGGCGCAGGCACGUUCAGCGGCCGACGUGCUUGGUACGUCGGUGUUCG
rnacentral:misc_RNA from 1 species